rnacentral:miRNA from 1 species
GCCAGAAUGGACAUGGGCAGCAA